UUCACAGUCAGGGAUGGGCCAUGAGCCCACCCCGCCCUGCAAGCCCGGGCCGGUCGGACGCCCCGGGGGAUCUGGGCUUGCCCUCCAAGGAAGCCCACCCCUCUCGGCCUGGCGACGGGCCCCAGGCCACCUCCCCGAGGGCAGAGCCUGGGGGCCCGGCGGGGUGUCGGCCAGCAGCCGGUUCAAAACUACCGGGGCGGAGCUUCUUCGGUGUCCGGGUGAAGUUUCCAAACCAACCCGAGGAGGAAGACCUCCGGGAGGGGAGAGGCCGAAAGCGUUUCGUUUCCAGUGCUUUGGCUGCUUGAAAGCACUUGGAAUACUAGCAGCUGUGAACUUAGCCAAAAAAAAUCACCUCUUCUCCGACUCCAGAGGAAAGAAACAAGAAGGAAUGAGUCACUGCUGCCUCCAGAAAGUAGUAGUUUGUUUACAACGACCAACAGCAGCAGCCCCCUGAAGGGACCGGCUGCAGCCGGGGUUGCUAGGACCCCGACGUCUACAUUCGUGCCGGUGAAUGACGUUGCACCAAGGCUGGACCUCCAAAAAUGAGCCCCAGAGAGUUCCCAGACCGUUGGAAGAGGUUAAAAAGCCCUCCACCGAACUGAGGAGUGUUUCUUCUCAGAGGUGUCAACUGGAUUCAGAGUUCCCUGCGGCGCUCUGGAUCAGACAAGAAGUGAGGUGCUUAAAAACUUACUCCCCGCUUUCCUUUGGGAAAUUUUGCAUGUUUUUUAUCCUCAGCAUCUUCCAGGAUACUUUCAGAUACCUCACGGUGGUCCCUAGUGUGCGACCUUCACUGAGCCCUGAAACCCUGCCACCCGCAAGUACUGUGAAGAGAAUAGAGCGAAUACAAACUUAAAAAAAAAGCAUGAACCUUGAUGCUUAGGGGGCUCACCGGCUUGUGUAAAUUGUGUUUACAAAAAAAAAAGCGUACAUAAAGAGAUAGACGGCAGAGCAGACAGCAGUGUGAAUAUUAAAAAUGCUCAGCAUCUUUAACCCAGGCAUUUUCCUAAGGAAACAACGGAGAAGUGCGGAAGAAUGGAUAUAAAAAGAUGCAGUGCGGUGAUAUUUAUGAUGGUGGUAAAAUUGGGAACUGAUUAAAAGUCUGAGACUUACUUAAAUGAUAAUAUAUUUGUACAGUCAUUUAAAGUGAUGCACUUCAAUAUUUACUAACAUGGG
ensembl:lncRNA